rnacentral:lncRNA from 1 species
AUCAGUUGGUAUCAGAGCAAGGUUCUUCGGUGAGAGACUUCUAAUCCUUUGCUGUUUUUAAUUAAUUUCCUAUAGUCCAGAAAAGCCAAAAAAAUAUAGUAGAUUAGUUUUUCCAUAAUCCUAUUAAACCUUUGUGCCUUGACUAGUACCGUUUUAGUUAGGGCUUGUUGAAUUUGUGUUGCUUCGGUUUGUGUCGAGUUGCUGGUCUUAGUGUCUAGUCCUGUAGAGUUUCGAGUUCUUGUCACCAUCUAUACACAGCCGAGUAUUACCAUAUCUUCUCUCUGUCGAACCUGUUGCGAAGUCUGAAUUGAACUGUGGUCUUGGUCCGGAUCGAGUAGAGUUCCAAUCUGAGUUUCCACCAACGUGAUAAAAAAAAGAAGGAAACUGAGUAGAACUCGGCAAUAGGUGGAAUCCGUUUUGUGGUUGGUUCUGAGUGGAAACCGAACAGAACUUGGAGUCCGCUUGUUAAUAUAGCCUGAACUCCGUCUAUGUGAGUCCUCCUGUGAUCCAAAAAGAAAGAUAACUCCAUACUUGUUCGGCCUUACUCUAGAGAGAGAGAGAGAAAAAAAAAGUGUGUGUAGCGAAUUGCUCUUUUGUAUUCUUUU